GCGAAGUCGGAGGCAGGAGACGGUGGAAGAAGGAGGGUGCAAGGAGUAAACGGAAUUACUGGGCGUAAAGCGCAAGCAGGCGGUCAAUGAAGUAAGAUGGGAAAGCCCCGAGCGUAACGUGGGAAUUGCAUCUGAAACUGGUUGGCUAGAGUCUUGUAGAGGGGGGUAGAAUUCCAUGUGGAGCGGUGAAAUGCGUAGAGAUGUGGAGGAAGACCGGUGGCGAAGGCGGCCCCCUGGACAAAGACUGACGCUCGGGUGCGAAAGCGUGGGGAGCAAACAGGAUUAGAUACCCCUGUAGUC
rnacentral:rRNA from 1 species